UGCAACAUGGCAGCAGCCAUGGAAACUGAACAGCCGGGCCUUGAAAUCUUUGAAACUGCGGGCCGCGAGGAGCAGGUCCAGAGAGAGGAGCAACCAAAACUGGAACCUUUCUAUGUAGAGAGACAUUCCUGGAGCCAGCUUCGGAAACUCCUCACAGAUACACGGAAGUAUCAUGGGUACAUGAUGGCAAAAGCCCCUCAUGAUUUCACAUUUGUGAAGAAAAAUGACCCUGAAGGACCUCAUUCUGAUAGAAUAUACUAUCUGGCAAUGUCUGGGGAGAACAGGGAGAACACGCUCUUCUACUCUGAGAUUCCCAAAACCAUAAACAAAGCUGCCGCCUUGUUGCUUUCCUGGAAGCCUCUUUUGGAUCUUUUUCCGGCCAUCCUGGACUAUGGGAUGUACUCUCGUGAAGAGGAGUUGCUACGGGAGAGGAAGCGAAUUGGCACCAUUGGGAUUGCUUCUUACGAUUACCACCGGGAAAGUGGCACCUUUCUGUUUCAGGCUGGGAGCGGAAUUUAUCACGUAAAAGAUGGAGGCCCUCACGGAUUCACUCAACAGCCUUUAAGACCCAUUCUGGUAGAGACCAGUUGUCCAAAUAUCCGUAUGGAUCCCAAGCUUUGUCCAGCUGAUCCAAAUUGGAUUGCAUUUAUCCAUAGCAAUGACAUCUGGAUAUCUAAUAUAGAAACCAGAGAAGAAAGAAGGCUAACAUUUGUGCACAAUGAACUGGCCAAUGUCGAAGAGGAUCCAAAAUCUGCUGGUGUGGCUACUUUUGUGCUGCAGGAGGAGUUUGACAGAUACACUGGCUACUGGUGGAGCCCAAAGGCACAGCCAACACUGAGUGGGGGUAAAGUUCUUCGAAUUCUUUAUGAAGAAAAUGAUGAGUCAGAGGUGGAAAUUAUUCAUGUCACAUCACCCAUGCUGGAGACAAGAAGAACGGAUUCCUUCCGGUACCCCAAAACUGGUACAGCAAAUCCAAAGGUCACUUUCAAGAUAUCUGAAGUGACAAUCAAUGUGGAAGGCAGAAUUGCAGAUGUUGUGGAUAAAGAGCUAGUUCAGCCGUUCGAGAUCCUCUUUGAAGGAGUAGAGUACAUUGCUAGAGCUGGGUGGACGCCAGAAGGAAAAUACAUCUGGUCCAUCUUACUGGAUCGCUCCCAAACUCGGCUUCAGAUAGUCUUGAUCCCUCCUGCAUUAUUCAUCCCCACAGAAGAUGAUGCAAUGGAAAGACAGAAACUUAUCGAUGCUGUACCAGAUUCUGUUACACCUUUCAUUAUUUAUGAAGAAACAACAGACAUCUGGAUAAAUAUCCAUGAUAUCUUCUAUGUUUUCCCUCAAACCCAUGAAGAUGAGAUAGAGUUCAUUUUUGCCUCUGAGUGUAAAACAGGAUUCCGACACCUAUACAAAGUCAUCUCAGUUUUGAAGGAGAGCAAGUACAAACGGUCAUGUGGAGGCCUCCCUGCUCCAAGUGACUUCAAGUGCCCCAUCAAAGAGGAGAUAGCGAUUACCAGUGGAGAAUGGGAAGUGCUAGGCAGACAUGGAUCCAAUAUCUAUGUUGAUGAAGCCAAAAAACUGGUGUACUUUCAAGGCACAAAAGACUCGCCUUUAGAGCAUCACUUGUACGUUGUUAACUACGAGAAUCCUGGAGAAGUAAAGCGGCUGACAGAACAUGGUUACUCUCACGCCUGCUGUGUCAGCCAGGAUUGUGACAUGUUCAUCAGCAAGUACAGUAAUCAGAAGAACCCACACUGUGUGUCACUUUACCGGCUGACAGGACCUGAAGAUGAUGCAGCUCACAGGACAAAGGAAUUCUGGGCUACCAUUUUAGAUUCAGCAGGCCCUCUUCCUGAUUACAUUCCCCCAGAGGUGUUCUCCUUCGAGAGCUCCACAGGGUUUACACUCUAUGGGAUGAUGUACAAACCUCACAAUCUGCAACCUGGAAAGAAGUACCCCACUGUGCUCUUCAUCUAUGGCGGGCCUCAGGUACAGUUAGUGAACAAUCGGUUUAAAGGAAUCAAGUAUUUCCGUUUGAACACUUUGGCCUCUUUAGGCUACGUAGUUGUUGUCAUUGACAACAGGGGGUCCUGCCACCGAGGGCUGAAGUUUGAAGGAGCCUUUAAAUACAAAAUGGGACAAAUAGAAAUUGAUGACCAGGUGGAAGGGCUGCAGUAUUUAGCAUCCCAGUAUGACUUCAUCGAUCUGGAUCGUGUUGGCAUUCACGGCUGGUCCUAUGGAGGCUACCUCUCUCUUAUGGCUUUAAUGCAGAGGUUGCCAUUGCUGGAGCACCCGUCACGCUGUGGAUUUUUUAUGACACUGGUUACACGGAGCGUUACAUGGGCCACCCGGAUCACAACGAGCAGGGCUAUUACCUAGGAUCGGUGGCCAUGCAAGCCGAGAAGUUUCCUUCUGAACCAAACCGUUUGCUGCUGCUACACGGAUUCUUGGAUGAGAAUGUUCACUUUGCACACACUAGUAUUUUGCUCAGCUUUUUAGUGAGAGCUGGGAAACCGUAUGAUUUACAGAUCUACCCUCAGGAGAGGCACAGUAUAAGGGUACCUGAGUCGGGAGAGCACUAUGAACUCCAUCUACUGUAUUACCUGCAAGAGAACCUGGGCUCUCGGAUUGCUGCCCUGAAGGCAAUGUAACUGACCUCUGCAGAACUCUGCUCCACUGGCUGCUUUACUGACCGAGAUGUAGGAAAAUAGAGGAAACGGGAUGGAACAUUGCAUUUUGGUGCCUGCCACAUGUACACACACACACAAAUGGAGACACUUUUUUAAAAGUAAAUUUGGUGCCAUACAGGAAAUUAAAGUACGGUGACCUAACAACUUUAAAGCUUAAUAUGUAAAUAAAGUCACACGUCUGUGGUAUAAUGCAGUACCAUGGUUGUUCUCUUGGGGGAGGAGUUGAAACUGAGAACAAUGUACUUCUACAGCACCAGAUCUUCACUUUUUAAAAAUAUUAUGACAUAACUGAUGUAUUUUUACAGUGUGUUCCUUGGUAUCUGAUUACAUAAUACUGGAUGAUUUACUCACUACACAGCAAGAGUUUACCUGAAUGGUUACAACUUGUAUUACAUUUUAAAUGCUCUCAUAUAGCCUUUUGGCUUCAUGAAUGGGAUGUGUCUCACUCCUUAGAAGCUGGUCACAAGUUAGACACAUCACCUAUCUAGGUGAUAAUUGUUUUUUAAGACGGACAACUUUUAAGCUGCCUCAUAAAGAAUUUAAAUUUUGGGUUCAGUUUAGUUGAUGCCAGGUUCUUUUUGAUGAUUUCUUCUCUCCCCAGGAUAAAUCAUACUCUUUCUUUUCUUUUUUUUUCUUUUUUUUUCUUUU